rnacentral:lncRNA from 1 species
UUAAAUGAAAAUAAGGUUAAAUAUGCGAUACAAAUUAAGUAAAAUGGAAAGAAAUCCGAUUGAAACUAAGCAAAACAUAAAAGGCUCUCAGCGCAAAUAAACCAAUAAGUCAGAAUGCGCGGAUCCUCCCCGGGUCGGGUCACCGCGCGGGUUGCACGCCUCUAAACGGCGUCGUUUUACAAGCGUUAUAAAAGACAGAGAAUUUGCUAAUCUAUUGACUAUUUCAGAAUAAAAAAAGAAAAGAAAAAGAUAAAAAAAACAUUAAGGGUUUCAUUGCCUUCCCAAGUGUCGCUCUCCACCUCGACUCCGAUCGUACCAGAGGAGGACGCGAGCUUCGACGGCGCCGAUGUCAAGGUAAUAUCCCCUCUUUUCUUUGUGUUUUAUCUCAUGCAUAAGAAUGUAAAAAAUAAACGAUGAACCCACAAAAGAAAUUGAAAGUCGUCUCCGUUUCCUCUUUCUUUUUUUGUUACACAAGAUUCAUAAUAAAAAAACAGAAAAGAAAGAAAAAAACGCAGAAAAAGAUGAAAAGAACACCUUCAAAACUCAGUUUUUUGCUUUUUUCUCUAUUGAUACUGUGUGUUCCCCCCUUACAAAUGCUGAAAAAUGACUUUAUAUCGCCAAAAAUAAAAUGAAAGUUACAAAAGAAAAUGUAUUUCGCUUCUUCUCUCUUUUUUUUUGUUAUUUUCUGCUGUUUUUUUGUUCUUUCUAUUAGCUGGCCUCUUUGUUUUCUGCUUUGCUAUUCCUUUGUUGCAGGUACACGCUCGGAUGGGGCGUAUGGAGGCGCGGUGACGUGGAGGCUCACGUGGAUUUGGCGCGGAGGCGCUACACGCGCGCAGACGCAACAUGCGCAAGGAGGAGGCCUGGCUCUGCUGCGGCGACUGAGGCUGUUUCAGAAACUGCUAGGGUUUCUACUUAUGCUUUGGGCUCAGAAUCGGGUCUAAGUUUAGGUACUAGGUUGAGAUUUGGGCCAUUGGGCUGGUGUUGGGUUAUUGGAUAUUCAGGCUAGUGGGCUUAGGUAAACGGGGCUAAGUACAAUUGGGCCAUUUGGGUUUAAUAUUCUGGGCUAAUGUAAAUGGACUAUUUUGGACUGUUAUUAAUUUUUUGGACUUUUAAUUUUGGCUUGGUUUAUUUUAUUAUUUUUAUAUUUUUUGUUUAUUUAUUUCUGAUUUGGGCCGGGCAAAUUUGGGUUAUUACACAUGCUUUCUAUUUGUACCUUACAAUUCCAUUUUCAAAAGAAAAUGAAGGUUGAGCUGUAGGACGAAUUGCUAAGGCAAUAAUCUUUUCUUGCACAUUCUGGUCUUCUUUUGUAACUUUCUUCAACAUCUUAAACCCACUUAUUACAAGAGUAGUAGAUGUCAGAAUUUGGC